rnacentral:misc_RNA from 1 species
GUGAAUCAUCGAAUUUUUGAACGCAAAUUGCACUCCCUGGUAUUCCGGGGAGCAUGCCUGUUUGAGGGUCGUUAGAACACAAGUCGAAGCGUCGCUCUUUUUUUUAAGGGUGCUCGCGUUGGAAUUGAGUCGUCUUUCAAAUGUUAACGCCUGUCCAAGUGGUUUCAAAUUCAUCCAUCCGUUACGCUUACAGCGUAUUGAAGACUAAUUUUGAUUAAGCACGCGCGU